AGUGUGGUGUCUGUGGUGAUCGUUGCGGCAUGGGGUUGUAUGGGUGUUCUGUGGUACAAUGACAUUUGUUGCUCAGCUGCCGGUGCUACCGCAAGGGAUCUAGAACAGAGCUUCUGCUGUUUGUUGUGCCCAUGGAGAUCUAGCCUGACGCUGCAUUGUUGACAACAAAUAGCCGCAAGUGCUGAUUGCUGCUGGUCAGCUCAGUCCAGAAUUUGGCCUCAGAAAUGCAAUGAGGCUUGGUGAAUGCAUCACUGUUGCCAACGCGGCAUGCCCCGCCCCUUCCAAAGUCAUCAGUCAAGUCGAGGUUGGUCUGCAGUGCAGCUUGCCUUUGGCCGACAAGUCUGUCGGGUGCUCCUUUAAAACAGGGAGCGAGUCGAGGAGCGUGCAGACUACAGAGGCUGUAGAUCCGUCAAGCUCCACCUCAGAGACGAGGGAAGAAAUGGACACGUUUGCCAAAGCGUACAGCGACGGGUGCCGUAGGAGGGUGCCGAACUCUGCAGUACAGAAGAGGGUGGCUAACGGCAAGGACAAGAUGCCUGAACCAACACGGAAGCUCAGGAGAACCGUUCAACGGAAACACGAAGUAGAGCUGCUGGCUGAAUCAGAUAAAGAAAGCAUAGUGGACACGGCAGAAAUAGUUCCGAAAGGAACUUACGAUGCACUGCAGAUGAGGCUACUUAGGCUAGAAAAGGAAUUUGAAGCCAUAAAACAGGAGAAAUUGGCACAGCACAUUGCUGGGCAGCAGGACCAUGAGUCUGCCUGCCAAAACUGCAAGAAGCUUGAGGAUGAACUGGAAAAAGUUCGAAGUUUGAACAAGGACUUACAGAGGAGCCUUCUGUCGAAGAUUUUUUCGGCCGAAAGCAGAAUAAUAUACGCACAAUCACUCGAUGUGUCAGUGCGUGCAACAUCGAUGCUUCCCCACAGUGUUGACAAAGCCCCAAGUGAGACUGCAGUCACAGCUUCACAUGGCAAGAGCAAGUCCUUUACCAGACUCCUUUCAGCCAGAGCUGUGCCGGGUAAUGUGCAAGAACAGCAUUUGCCACCACCUGGUGCACCCACUGCCUGCCCUGCGUCAGCAGGUGUUGGUGCAAGCCAAUCUGGGCCACCAGAUGCCCUGAGUAAGGAGGCUGUCCAAGACAGUGACAGUUUGGGUGACCUGGAGCCUGGCAGUAGCCAGGGAGAAUUUGGCGGCAGCCAGGAAGAAUUAAGCAGCAGCCAGGAAGAAUUAAGCUGCAGCCAGGAAAUUGCUUUGGGUCUGGAAGACACUGCUAUUGGGUCUACGAGAGAUGAUGGCAAGGUCUACGCUGGCAGUGGAUACUGGCUGGACAAAGAAGCAUGGGGCAUGCUUAUGAAAUCCCCCAGCGAUUCGAUGUUCUGCCGGUUGGCGUCCAUGGUGUAUUGGACACCGGACCAACUAAGGUCUCGUAGCGUGACCGGGUCAUUGUCAAACAGAUACAGGUCGUUUGGGAAUACCGAGGCGAAGCCAGCGCUUUCGCCGCAGAAAGUCGCUUCUCUGAAAGCCGUUUUCCGCAUCUUCAUUGGGGACGCCGUGCCCGAAGACACCAGAGAAAAGCGACUGAAGUGUGUGAGGAGGCACCUGGCACAGAAGCUGGGGGACAUGCAGAGGAAGAACUGAUCCUGACAGGCUGUGGGAUUUCCGCCAUGGGAUUUCCGCCAACUAAAUUCUAGCCAAGCAUCAAGGCCUUCUAUUUCUCCAUCAACAGCGAAUAGUGACACUUCACAGCAGGGAUGCCUCCACCAAGAUCAUCUCUGCGAUUAUGAGGCUUAUAAACUGUUAC
rnacentral:misc_RNA from 1 species